UGGUGUUCUAAAGAACAGCUGUCCGAC
rnacentral:piRNA from 1 species